CGCAGUCUUGAUCGUAGAGCAGUACUGCGGAUUCGUAUUAUUCCUAUUUCCGUGGUACUUACUGUUGAGGACAUUAUUUUUGAUAUGGUGUUCCACGCCAAUCCGAAACAACGGUGCGGCUUUCAUAAACGCCAAGGUCAUAUAUAGAAUCUUCAAGGAUUGUGGUAAACAGCAGCCUACGCGAAGGCCUCACGUCAACAUUAACUGUUCCAAAAUCCAAAACUUGACGCAACACCGCCAACCAUAUCGGCGAAAUUGUCUGCCACCUCGGCGAUCACCUCAGACGACAUCUUGGAGGUCGGCACUUCGGAAAUGAACAUUUAACCAAUAGCCAAAUCGGUGGUUAUGUAUUCAUGUCUGUCAUAGCCUGUUAAAUAAAAAUCGAGUGAGAUCGCUCUCAGGUUGAUAUUGAUUUUUUAAGUUUACACCCAGAAAACACAAAUUUUAAAUUAAUUUUUGAAGAAUCUUGCAAUAAACUCAUUGAAGUAUUGAAAGAGAGAGUAAAAGACCCUGCUAACAGACAAACUUUGACAACAUUCAAUAAUACAAUUAACGAUUUGUCAUCAGAUUCAAAAGUAUUGGUUAUUAUGUAUUUAUUACACUGUGUGUUCAUUCCUUCAUCGAAAAAAUCUACUCGUGAUGAAAAUGGUAGAAAAGGUUUUACAAAAUACAGCAUACGAGAUUCACAAAACUCAUUUAUAAUUGUGACACCAACUUCUGUUGACAUGGAAUCUACACUCCAAAAAAUGUCUGAGAUGGGUGCAAUCCAGCCUUGUAUAUUAGUUAUUGGAACACUAUUUGAUCCAAAGCAAAUUCUUGUGUAUUUUGACAACAUUAAGUAUAAAAUGUUUUCAGCCAUUAAAGCCUUUGACAUCUGUUUUAAGAUUUUUCACGUAUUCAAUGUAGAGUAUCCAAUAGAGUCAAGUGAUGUGUGGUUUUUUAUACAAAUUUUUUUUUUAAGAUAACUACAAAGUAUGAUAAAUCUAAUGUAUUAAUUAAACAAGUGAUAAAUGAAUUAAAAUCUUAAUUGUAUGCAUAAUGUAUUAUAAACUGGGUGUUAAUGAAUAAACCAAAAAUAAUUUAAUGUUUUGUUUUGUUUUUUGCAAAAAACAUAUUUGCUAAAUACCUAUUCUUCCUAAACUCUUCCACUUUAUAUUUAAAAUAGUUAUUUUGUCAAUUCAAACAAAUUAUUUCAUUAAUAUCAGACUAAAAUUCCAAAAUGGUAUUGUAAAUUCAAGAAACAAUUAAGUCAAUUCAACAAAAACAUUUCAUUAAUAUCAAACUAUAAAUGCAAAAUGGUAUUGUGGAUUCGAGAAAA